AGAGAGAGACAUGCGCGCAUAUCAAUAAGCGGAGGAAAAGAAACUAACAAGGAUUCCCCUAGUAACGGCGAGUGAAGCGGGAAGAGCUCAAAUUUGAAAUCUUAAAGGGUUUCCCUUUACGAAUUGUAGUUUAAAGAAGUGUUUCCUGUUGAGGUUUUGGUAAAAGUUCUUUGGAAUAGGACAUCAUAGAGGGUGAGAAUCCCGUAUUUGACCUUUACUUUCAACUUUGUGAUACACUUUCAAAGAGUCGGAUUGUUUGGGAAUGCAGUCCAAAAUGGGUGGUAAAUUUCAUCUAAAGCUAAAUAUUGGCGAGAGACCGAUAGCGAACAAGUACCGUGAGGGAAAGAUGAAAAGAACUUUGAAAAGAGAGUUAAACAGUACGUGAAAUUGUCAAAAGGGAAGCGUUUGACACCAGUGUUGUUUUUCUGAAAAUCAAUUAAAGAGCUGUUUAUGCUAAGCUGUUUAGACUUUAUCAGCUAAUCUGUUUAGUUUUGAGCUUUUCUUUAAUGCACUUUUCAGUUAACAAGUCAACAUCAAUUUCUUUUGCUGUAAAAAAGCUUGAGGAAGGUGGCUUGAGAUUCGUCUUAAGUGUUUAUAGCCUCUUGCCUAUGCAGUCGGAGAGAUUGAGGUCUGCAGCGUAGAUCCUUCGGGGCUAAAUGCAUUUGUGCUAAGUUAUAGCAUUUUAUAGACAACUUGUUGACUAUGAUUUGUCUUGUAGCUUACUCGCUUAUGUUAUUUUACCUACGCUUAGGAUGUUGACGCAUGAGAUAUACGC
rnacentral:rRNA from 1 species